ACAUUUUCGAAUUGCAUUAUGGGAUUGAGCUCAGCCUCGACGAUUUUUAGUGGCUGCAACAAAGUCAUGGACAGCAAAAAUGUCAGCUUUUUCAUUGCGGGAGUUUGGUGUAUGAAGGAGUUAACGUCCCCUCCCCCUCGCUGCUGCGCCACUCUGUGUUUCAUAUGCGUAACUGCGGCUUCACUUUGCGUGUCUGAGGGCCACUGAAGUAGCAUCUGGUGGGUCUAUACUGGAAACAACAUACACUGCUAGUGAACAAGUUCCAUUCAGUCUAAGACACAUCUUCUGAGUAAUCUGAAUGCUUUCAUCUUACCUGUAGACAAGAAGCAAAUCCUCCCAGUCCUGCCCCUCUGUGAAAACUUUCUUUCUUUGUCCUUGUAUCUUUUCUAAUAAUUGAAUCACUAGAUUUAUUUUUUAUGUCUGUUUGUAAUGUAAAUGAAGUAAUGAAUUAGUACUUUUCUUGGGAUACUUUACAGAUGAGACAUGUGUUUUUGUUCUUAAUGUUUUAAUAUUUUGUAUUUU